AGCUUAACAUCAGCAUAAUAGGAUAUUUUAUGUUAUAGGAAUUGGUAAACAUCACGAGUCAGGGCUUGUUGUUUGGUUUUGUUUUUCCAAACAGUCUGUUUCCCCUUAGACCACGUUACCAGUUUCAUUUUGUUCCCUAGAGGCAAGUCUUCCAGAGCAUCUGCAGUUGCAGGCAGCAAGGCUGCCCUCCUUCCUUAGAGGGCAUCAUGUCCCAGAGGGCUUCCUUUGUCUCCCUCCUGCAUUGUUUUCCUUUUGCUGGGUCAAGUGUCUAUUUCUUUUUUAUUUAUUCCAUUUGAGAUGAAAAGCUAGACAAAACAAGAAAAAAGGGGCCAGCCAGAUGUCCGAGGCUGGAAACUCCCCUUUCAAACUUUUGGCUUUUGUAACCUUGCUUGCUGCCUGCCUCCACCAAUGGCCCAGAGAGCACCACUGGGGCUGCUCUAUUGAGUUAGUAGCUCCCAGUACUGCCUUUGACACCCACACGCCUGCACUGAUGGCAUACUCCAUUCAAGUUGGUGCUUACACGAGGCUACCUUGGAAUUCAGGACUGGAAGAAAAAAUAGCUAACCUGAAAGUAUCAUCAAGAGGACCAAGGGAUGAAUGCCUGUGAAGCUCUUAGAACAUUGCCUGCAUCUGCUUGGUGUCUGAUUGAUGCCAGCUGGCACAUCAUCCAUUCUGUGGAAAUUCCACAGUUGAUUCAUUUCCCACAGAAUUUUCUGUGCUGUGACCCCAGACUCCCUCUGUUUAGCAAGCCUGGCUGCCAGAGACUGUGAAUGAGCCUGCAGUGCAGCAAGUUGGAGACAGUUGAAUUUUCACUCCUGGAUUCCUUCUCACCCUCUAGGGCACCCUUGGUACCCCUCUAAGUGUCCUCCAGGUGUCCAGGUGUCCUCCAUAUAUCUACAUGUCUUUGCACUUACCAUAUUUCUAAGAUAGAUCCCUGAGGUGGUGUGGCUGUUGGUGGCUCUCAGGUUCUGCUUGGCUGGGGAUGCAUAGGCAACCUGAUGCACUGGAAAGAGCUGUGGCAGAAAACCCAGAGCCCAUAACUGCCCAGGCCCUGCCAUCAGGAGCCAUGUGACCUCUGAGAACCUCACCUAAAUAAUCCACAUUUGAAUCAGCUCAAUGCUACAGUCCCUUGCAGCUCAAAAGUCUCCAGUUCUAAGGGGUUUGACUCCUUAUUUUGGCACAGAAGGGAUAGAUAGAAAUAAAAAUAGACAAUAGAUGUCAGCAUCAAAACAGAUGCCCUGUGUCAUCAGAGACUGCAUUAUAGUGAUAUUUUCCUACUAAUGGUUUAGACAAAAGCCUGGAGUGUGUUUUGAGGGUAGGGAGAGAAAGGGGACUGAUAGGUAGGAUGGUGAGAUUGGCUAACAAGAUUAGGUCUUCUAGAAUGUGUGCAGCCCUUGAAGGACUCCAGGGCCCCAAGUAUAAUAAAAACUUCGGAUGUAUGAAUUCCUCCAAGGUUGCUCUGGAUGAGGGCAUAGGAGUACAAACUUGCCAAUAAUAUAGAAAUUGGGAAUUAUUGGAGCUGAGAAUGGCUUAAAGUUCUUUUUGUCCAACAUCACAUGUUUAAAGGGCACAAAAACCAGAAAUUAAAGGUUUUUCCAGGAGUGAUAGCUCAUAGUUGUAAAAAUUGCAAUCAGAGCCCAGUUGCCCAGACUUUGAUGCCAGGACCAGCUCUGACCUGCAAACUAGGGGAUGAGAAUCAGAAUAUCUUCAAAAUUGGAUAUUCCAUGAUUCUCCAAAUAGAAGGGGGGUUGUUUGUUUGUUUUCUGGUUUUUAUAUCAGUAAUGUAAAAUAUCUUAACAAAACUCUAGAGUUCUGGCUCAUGACUUCAAUUGCACAUUGAAAAUCACCUAUGGAACUUUAAAAGCUCCUGACUCUUAGCAACAUUAUAUUCAGAUAUAGUUGGAUAAGGAGGUACAGCUUGGGCACCAUGGUUUUUGAAACACCUCCAGAUGGUUCUAGGUGCAGCUCACAUUGAGGAACUCCCUGCAUAAUGGGUCCUGUGGGCCUGCAGCAUUGCCUAGACUGGGAGCUUGUCAACCAUGCAGAACCUCACACCCUCCCCAGACCUGGUGAGUCAGCACCUGUCUUUCAACAAAGUGAUUAGUUUACAACAUGUAGUUUAAUAAACACAGCUGUAGUCUACAGCAAUCCUGGUGCUUCUCCAGAAAUAGGCAGUGAUGUGGUGACAUUCAAAUCAGAUUCCACAAGUAGAUUUCAGAAUUCCAGGGAGCAGCAACAGUACAGCUAAGGCUCCUCCUUUCUAAACUGUGUGAUGUGGAACCAGCUUCCUCUUUUCCAUAGGGACAGUGAUGGCCCUGAGAUUGGGGCAGUGAAAUAUGUAGGUGAUCAGGGCAAGGUCUGGGACAGGUACAAGCUCUGGGAUGUACCCAGCAACCCCCUCCUUUCCCUUAGCCCUUCUUCUGCUUUUGGUUUAGGAUGCACUUUUGUUAAUUUUUAAACUAUCAUAUUUACUAAAUACCUAUUUCUAAAUAUGCUGCUCAUGUGACUUACCUCUCAAAUCAUUAUCCAGAUAUGAUGAUCCAUUAAAUGACUAUAGCAACAUUGCUUCAUUCUAGUGUGUUUGGAGAGGGACAUAGGUGAAGAUGACAGGGAAACAAGGGGUCAAGAAUGGCUCUAAGUUUGUGUUUUGUUGUGAUUUUGUUGGUUUAAAAGGCAACUGCUAAUGGAGAAGAGGGUUCUGUGCUGUCAACAAGUCUGGGUACAGAUGUGGAAGGAAGAUGAGGUGCCUCAUUGGGUAGGGCUAGGCCUUGGAUCUCCUUCCAGUGGCUCUGAAGGGGCAAAAGUAAUGACAAAGACUGGGAAGCUGGUGGUUGUCAGGCAGGAAGUGGCUAUGGGGGAUGGCUGAAAUAAAGGGUAAUAAGAGUAUACUUAUUGUGAUGAGCACUGAGUAAUGUAUAGAAUUGUUGAAUCACUAUAUUGUACACCUGAAACUAAUAUAAUACUGUAUGUAAUUAUACUUCAAUAAAAGCAAAUUAAAAAAAGUAAUGGAGUGUAACUGAGCUGCCCCUAAUACUCCUCCUCCAAUGAAAGGCCAAAAAUCUGCCUUCUCAGAAAUUGCUAGAAAGAGAACAAUGGCACUUCCAAGCAGCCAGUGUGAGGGCAGCACAACUGCUGAGCACAGAGACUGCACAUUCAGCUCCAUGGACAGGACAGCCUUUUAGUUUCCAGCUCUAACGUUCUCUUAUGUCCUGUGCUGGGAAUUAUCCUUGGCCUGAUGUGUCAGCCAGGAUACAUCAGGACCUGUAUCAGCUCAGCUGCUUGGGGCACAAAUUAUCCUGAAGAGGAAAAUUAGGACUUUCAGAAGGGAGAACAACAUCCCAAGGACCCCACAAUCACACAUACUUUCUGGAUCAGUGGCCUCCCUAGAACACCAGAAGAGAGCCACAGAAAAGAGGCAAGUGUCAAGUGCCUCAUCCUUGAGGCCUGUUAAAUGGGAUGAGGCACAUCUGACUUAGCUGCAGGCAUCAGCCUCCCCAGGCCUGCUGCUGUUCUGAGCCAAACAUAGAACAUACUCAGCAUCAGGCUGGAGGCUCAUAGGCCAAGAAAGAUGUGCUGGAAGUAAAGCUUUUAGCCCUGGGAUUUCUCCUCACCUCCUCAUGGCCACAUUCUAGAAUGUUGCGCUGUCUGCAGAAGACUUAACUGCACCCAAUUGUGGGAGGAGAAUUCAGGCUUUCUGGAUAGCUCCAAGAAGAGAAAUAAAAGUACAUUUUGGUGCAGCCACUGUCUCAACCAUGCCCCAUCUUAUACUCAUGCACAACCACACUUCUACAUGUGCUCACCCACACCCACAUUUAAACACACACACCACAAAUCACCCAGAUCAUAACCCUAAGAAACUAUGUGUCAUCCAAUCCACUUCUUGAAUUUACCUGUGGCCAGCCAGCCAGCAAACUGGACUCUUGAAAGAAUGCAGAGAUGAUGCCCCAGAUCUCCAGAAGCCAAGUACAAACCCCACAUCAGACUCUGGAACUAGUGUCCUUUGUGCAGAGACACUGAGAGUUCUGAUUAAGGGGUGUUUAUGGUCGUAAAGGCAUCACAGCUUGCACAGAAAGCUGCUCAGCUUCCCUAAUUGGCACAAGCUGACAGAGAAAGAGAAUGAAGAAUGAGACACUCCCAUGAACCUUCCAUCCCUUUCAGAAAUCUACAAGCUCCCCCAGGCUCUAGUCCAUGGGUGCUGAGUCCUGGGACAGAGCUGGUGGGGGGUCUAGGAGGCUGCUUUAUGGAAAGUCUCAGAACUUGGCUUUGAAAAAGUUACUCGUGGGUCUUAAGACUCUUAUCCAGUGAUGGACAGAUCCCAAAAACAGUAGCAGUCAUUCAACUUCCCCAGCUCCUCAAGGGGCACCUGAUGCACUCAGCUGAAAUGUAAAAGAUAAAUAUCUAUCAGAUUCUUAUCAUAUAAACAAACAAAAAUAUCCACAAUCCUUUUUCCUAGUCAGUCUUCCUGGACAACACACAGGAAGCCUGACGACAAAGUCACAAAGAUCUACAUGCCACAGAGAAAAUAUGGGAGCAUCCAAAACUCUGAGUAAUCAGACUCCUGCCCCAUUAAAGGUACAGCGUGGCUCCCUUAAAGUCUCUCGCCUGGGCAGCCCUGCCCCAAAACUCCCAUCCUUCUCAUCCUGGCACCUGAAAUGUAGAUUUAAGGAAAUGGGUGAUGGCUUAAAAAAAUGCCCUGCUGCCUUUUUGGCUAACCCAAAAUAGAAAACCUAUAAAAUAUAUCAAGGGCACUGAUGUGACUCAAUCCACUAUUCUGUUUACUCAUUGCUUGGUUGUGGGAGCAUAGCCUAUCUUAGUCCAGAAAUGUAAAGCUCAUGAUUCAUCUCCAUGCCCUCUGCCCAAUGCUCCCACUGUUUGUGGAGAAGCUCAAGAAAUGCUUCCUAGUAAUGAUGACAUCAGGAUAGCAAGUUUGCUGCUUUCUGCAUUUUCCCAGCAGAGCCUCCAUUUUAAUCAGUGUCACACUAUUGGUUCAGUAUACAAUUUUUCUAAAGGGAAUUUUGCCUUCAAUAUGGAAACUCAGGAAGUUCAGGUUUUACUUAUUUUUGAUCUGUUGAACUAAAAAUUUAAAAAAAAAUCAAGAAAGGAUAUUGUUUUUUGUUUGUUUUGUAUUGGAGCACCUGGACACUGUUACAUUGUCACUAUUAUGAAUCAGAGAGGCUUAGGGGGGUUUAAAAGUUAAACUCACUUCAGCUUUAUAAGCUAUUUAUAAGGUCCUCCCUGCCUGCCUGAUUGUCUCUUCCUAUUAUUACAAAGUCAUUUUUGGUCCCAGUUCCUAUAAUACUAAGAAUUGCUCACCCAUGGUUGUUUAGUUCUCCUAGGCAAAAGGGGCUUUUAUGAAAUUCAAGCUCAAGCAGACAAAAUUCAGCCUUCCAAAGGAGUGAACAAUUUAAAUGGAGCAGAAGACACAAAGGGAGGGUGAUAUUCUGGUGCCUUUCUUUGUUCUUGGGAGCUGGGAAGAAGAGUGAAGAGCCCUCUCCCACCCGAACUCCCACCUCCUGGUAAGUAGGGCUCUCUCCCCUCUCCUCCAGGUCUCUGACCUUUUCUUUCUUCCUCCCACCAACUGCAGUGCAGCCAGUCCUAGUGAGUACUAAUAAAGGAGGAAAAGGGACCCAACAGGUAGCCCUAGACCAUUUCCCCAGUAACAAAAAGAGGCCUGAAUAGAAGCCCCCCUGUCUCCAAGCUCUACCUUUCAGUGCCUGGCCAAAGCCCCAAAGCCAAAACUGCUGGGUUUUCUCCAAGUCACACCCAGUCAUAUGGCAUCUUUACUCCUCAUGCUACUUGGCUGGUGACUAUAAAUGAGACAGCAGGAUUAGCAACCAAGUCCCAUUAGAGCCAAGGGCUGCAGAUCAUGGAGUGCCCUUGUGGUCAGUGUCUUCAUUAUUGUUGGCCUUUCUCUUCUUGCCCCAUUCAUAUUUUCUCUUUCCUUUUUUUCUCCAGAGUCCCAGUUUUCUCCUGAUAUUUUAUGGAAAGGGUUAUAUUUAUACAUUUUUUCAUUUAAGAAGAUUUCCUUUUUCUUUCAACAACAGUAUUUAAUUUUAUACUCACAAAAACAAUAUCUUUGAGGUAAGAAGUAAACAGGGGUUCUAACCUGCAUUUCACAGACCAGAGAACCCCAAACCAGCUAGAAGACAAAAAUGCUUACAUUCACAUAAUGAGAAAGAGGCUUGGCUCUUUCUUCCAAGUCAGGGAAGAAACUAUGUGCUGAAUAUCCCAGGAAGCCACAGAGUUUCAAAGGGACUUCACAUUAGUUAGCAUGCCAGGACCCCAGUAGAUGGAAGAGGUGGCUCCUCUUACCAUGGCACUUCUGGUUUUCAUGCACAGCUGUUGUCACUAAUGCAGUGUCAAUUCAUUCUGAAUUAGUAGUAUCUAGGUCUUUAUACAUAUUCUCAAUUGACAGAUACUGAAAGAACAAUCAUAAUCUAGGGGAAUCCAUGAUUUUUUUUUCUUUUCACUCAAAAGAGCUCUCUUAAAGGAUUAAGAAUAUCAGAGAAGGGUCAGACAAUUGCCUGCUACCAUUUCCCAAAGUGGGGUGUGCAUCCUGCUGCUGGCACAGGGAUAAUUUUAGGGCCUAUAAUGACGUUUUUUAUUUGAGUGUGUUAGUUUCCAUUUGCAGCCAUAGCAUUGCUUUUUUUAAAAAAGAAUAUUCAAGUAGAAAAGCAAGUUGAUAUAAAGAAAAGACUGGUAGUUAACUGGCUCAGCAGUUUUUUGGGAAGUGUUAAUUACAGGUGUGAAGGACAUUUGUCCAAACUGACACUGUACCAAGUUAGGCAAUCAGGAUGUCAAUGAAGGAAAAAUUGGCAAAAUGGAUCCAUUGCCAACCACUAGUGUGAAGUGUCCUGUGCACAAGUAUCCAUGUGAAGUAGGGUCAACUGACAGGAGCUGAGUUGGCCUCUGGUCCCACAAUUCUUGCAGCCUCAUCAAGGAGACUACCAUGAGGACAGUGACAGCAAAGAAAAGGCCUAGGAUAGUUCUGGCAAUUAUUCAUCAGUGACAUCAUCAAACAUAAUAGCAUUCAAAUUAUAGGUAUCCCAGAAGGAGAAGAUAGAGAAGAGGUGGCAGAAUGCACAUGAAGAAAUAAUAGCUGAAAACUUUCUUACACUGGGAAAGGAAACAAACAUCCAAAUCCAGCCUGCACAGAGAACCUCCAACAAAAUUAACCCAUAGAGGUCCACAUCAAGACACAUAAUAAUUAAAAUGGUGAGCAGUAGUGAUAAAAAGAGAAUUUUAAAAAGCAACAAAAGAAAAUAAUACAGUUACAUACAAGGGAAACCCCAUAAGGCUAUCAGCUGAUAUUUCAGCAGAAACUUUGCAUGCCAGAAGGGAGUGGCAUGAUAUAUUCAAAGUACUGAUAGGAAAAAACCUGCAAUCAACAAUAAUCUACAAAGAAAUUUUAUCAUUCAGAAUAGAAGGGGAGGUAAAGAGUUUCCCAGAAAAACAAAAGUUAAAGGAGUUCAUCACCACUAAACCACCCUUACAAGAAAUAUUAAAAGGAAUUCUUUGAGUAGAAAGAAGAGACCAUAAUCAGAAGAAAUAAAAUUAUGAAGAAAAAAUUCACAGGUACAUAAAGACAUAAUAAAAGUAGAUUAAUCACUUAUGAAACAAGUAUGGUGGUCAAACACAAAAUCAGUAAAGUCAAUUAUAUCUACAAAUCACUCAAAGGAUUCACAAAAUAAAAAUACGUAAAGUGUGACAUCAUAUGCAUAUAACAUGUGAAAGAAGUAAGAAUUUGGUGCUCUCGGAAUAGGUUCAAACACAAGUGACCAUCAACUUAGUAUAGAUGGCUAUACACAUAAGAUACUAUAUAUGAACCUAAUGGUAAGCACCAGUCAAAAACCUAUAAGAGAUACAUUCAGAAUAGAGUAGGGAUCCAAGCAGACACUAAAGAAAGUCAUCAAAUCACAGAAGAAAAGAGCAAAGGAAGAAAAAAAAAUAAAGAAGAACUACAAAAACAACCACAAAUCAAGUAACGGAGUGGCGAUAAGUACACAACUAUCAAAAAUUACUUUAAUUGUAAUGUAAAUAUAAAUAUAAAUUAGCUAAAUGCUCCAAUAAAAAGACAUAGGGUGACUGGUUAAUAAAACAAGACCCAUCUAUAUGCUGCCUACAAGAGACUCACUUCAGACCUGAAGACACAUGUAGAUUGAAAGUGAAGGUAAGGAUCUCAGGACCACUAAACCAGUCUUUCAAAAAAUAUUACAGGGGACUCUUGAGUGAAAAGGAGAGACCAGAAAUGACAGCAUAAACUUAUGGAACACAGUAACAGGAAAAAAAAAGAAUAUUUAUGUCAAAAAUCAGUCAAGGAACUCACAAAAUAAAAGGAUAUAAAAUAUAACAACAUAGACCUAAAAUGUAGGGAGAAGAGGAGUAAAUAAUGGGUUUACUUAAAUGACUUAACUUAAUAUAGACUGCUAAACCCAGAUGAUGUUAUGUACAAACCUAAUGGUAACCAUAAAUCAAAACCACUAAUAAAUAUGGAAAUAAUGAAGAAAAUAAAUCCAAUAUCAUUAAAUACAUCACUAAAGAAAACCAGCAAAUUAUGAGAGAAAGACAAGAAAGGAUCAGAGAAAAUCUUCAGAAACAACCACAAAACAAGUAAUAAAAUGGCAAUAAAUGCAUAUUUAUCAAUAAUUGCUCUGAAUUAAAGGGACUAAAUGCUGCAAUAAAAAGACAGAGACUAAACACUCCAAUCAAAAGACAUAGGGUGACAGAAUGGGUAAAAAAUAAGACCCAAAUGCUGCCUACAAGGCACUCAUAUUACACCUUAAGCCACCUGCAUAUCAAAAAUGAGGAGAUGUGGAAGCAUCUGCCUUGCAAAUAGAUGUCAAAAGAAAGUUGGAGUAGCAAUU